CUGUGCGAGUUGCGCGUUGUACGGAGGAGUAUCACACGUGGGAGCUGAAGCAGCUGAACGCGGAUAAACAGAGUGAAUAAUGCGGAUCUGAGCUCUGAGUUUCUGCGUGUUUUAAUCAGACUGAGCGCUGAUGAUCUGCUGAAGCUCUCUGUAGGAGCUGGUGGGGGGUCAGGAGUGUGGAGAGCAUGGAGAGUAUUUUAGAGGCGAUCACUCAGAGUGAGCUCGUUCAGCUGGACUCUGGGAGAGAUGUGGUGUUUGAAACUCCUUCCACAGACGUUCUCAACACUAUUUCACAGUAUUUUGAGGACCCAGUGAGCAGAUUCGAGGACUCGAGUGCUGCUAAACCAUAUUCACCUGUCUCAGACAGUGACUCUGGUGACAGUCUGUUUUUGACUCAGGCCGUGAGUCCGGUACUCAGGGCAGUUAAACGACACCGCUCCUCUGAAAGAUCUGCUCUUCUCAUUAAUUCAGAAUCAGAUGAUGAGAAUGAAGCAGUGCACAACAGUGGUGUGAGACGGCUACAUAAACCACGUCCAGCAUAUGUUCAACCAAAGAGGACAGAGUUCCCUUUUCUACAAAAGUGUAAGAAGUUUCGCUUUGGAAGACUGCCUGUCUGCAAGAACCAGGUUCUAGUGAAUUCAGAGAUCGGGGGCUUCUUUAAAUGUGUACAGAAAAUCAGCCAGGGACAUGAAGUGCAAAGAACAGAGCUAAGUCCAGCAGUCUCUUCAUCUGUGCGGGAAGAAGAAAGUGUGGAAGAAGGGAGCAAAGAGGAGGACCAUGGAAAUGAUGAUGAUGAUGAUAUCAGAGUAGUGGAUGCAGAAUGUUUUAUUUUCAACACCGGUGUAAGAAACAGACAACCGUGGCUUCCGAAAACCAGAUGGACAGUGAGACUGAACAAAGAAAAAAAGGAAGAAAAAAACAAACAGAAGCAAAAGAGUCAAAAACAGAAAGGUGCUAAAGGAAAAACAGGAGUUCAAAAGCAAAAAGCAAAGCAGCAAACAGAGAUCCAGAAGAGAUCACGCACCAAUAAAACAUCACAGUGUAACAGCAGGACAGAAAAGCAGAAAAGUGGCACCACUGUAUCCAGGAACUUAGUCUCUUCUCCUGAAUGUUCCAGCAUGAGACAUUUACUUCUGGACCAAGAGGAACACAGUGAGAAACAGCUGGACGUUUUGGCCACAUGUUCUCAGUCUGUAGUACAAGUUGUAGACCAUCAUUUUCAUAGCAGAUCUCAUUCAGCCCAUCAAUCUGCUGAGACGUGUGCUGCGAAUGUGCCAGAAGGAGAAUUGGACGAUGAAAGAAUGGUUGAGGAAACACAAAUGCCAGACUCUGACCAGACUUUAGUGGAAGCUGAGGAAACACAUGUUCUUGAAAUGGUGGAGGAUAGAUCGAAAAAGGUUGGUGAAGAUGGAAGAUAUUUGGAAAACCUCCCAUUUAGAGAACCUCGGGAGAGUGACAAGGAUCCCGGUGAAGAGGGACAUCAUGAAGUGCAGGAUCAUGAAGACUGUGGGGAUUCUAUAGGUUCAGCGGAUCUGUUUGGGGAAGAGGGGAAUCAGUUUGAUGAACUUAUUGAUGCACCCAGUUUGACAGAUGAGAUAAGACCUAGGGAUGGUGAUGAAAACCAAGAAAGUUGUGUGGUACAGUGUGACGAGGGAAGCCCAGUGAGAGUGGAGAACACUGUGGCUAAACAAGCAGAGAUAGCCAUAGAAACAGAAAGCCCGCUGUUUAAUUAUGGUGGUAUGACCUUUUUAAAAUGGAGGAAAAGAAAAACGUCGGAAACAUCUGAAGUCUCUCAUAGCUUGCUUUCAGAUGCAGGUCAAUACAACAGAUCGUCUACAUAUGAUGAUGCUUGUGGGCAAAAGAAGAGAAAAACAUCAAGUCAUUUGGAUAAGGAUGGCAAAGGUGAGGAGGAGAAGGAGGAGGAGGAGGAGAAGAAGAGGAGUCUUGAUGUCAGGUUAUCACAGGAACCAGCACAGGCCUCGUCAAUAUCUGAAGCAAACUUCCCUACAGGAGCAAAAGAAAAUUGGACAGUUGAGAACAAUGUUCAAUCUUGGUCUUAUAGCAGUGAUGAGACGUGUAUAGAAGAAGAUAAUCAGAUUACACGUCCGACUUCAGAAGGUCUACUGUCUGUAGCUGCAGCUGCAGCUGUAACUGAACCUGAACCAUCAACAGCAAGUAAGCUUUCUACUCCUGUAAGGACUGGAGAAGAAGUUCAGCAGGAUGAUGGCAGCCCAGCGAAGAGUCUUGUCCAAUCACAGGAGUUUGGACCACUAAAUACAAAGAAAGCAAAGAAUGCUAAUGAUAUGCAAACGAUGGACUAUGCCAAACAGGUUGAGUCAAGCCUUGGUACUACAACACAAAAACCUGUGGAGACGUCAACCCAACCAGGAUUUCUAGAGAACAAUGAUGUAGAAAGACCAGAAAGAGAAGACAUUUCUCCUUCCACAAGUACUCAGUCAGAUCAUACAGUGGAACCUUUAAAAAGCUGUGAUGAAGAAGCUAAUAGAGAAAAACAAAUAUUUUGCAAAGACAUACAAUCUGUUGACUUGGUUACACCAAAGAAGACUAAGACAAAAAAGAAGAGGCAGAAGAUUGUUGAAGAAAGCCUGGAUCCUGAGACAAGUCAUAUAGAAACGACAGGUUGUGAUGAACAGCAAGUUACUGAAUUAGUUCCAGAGAAACAACACAAGAAAAAGAAAAGGAAGAGAGAGCAUGAUGUUGAAGAAAAUUUAAAAAUCACAGAAGCCAGUUCUAUAGAAACUACUAAGCAAGGUGAGGAGAAAAUAUUGGAAAAGAAGAAAAUAUUCGGUAAAGCUUACCAUGUCAAAGCAGCAGAGAAAUCUGUAGAGGUAGUUCAGGAUUCUGAGAAGCAAACUACUGAAUUGGUUCAAGAAAACAAAAUGAAAAAGAAGAAGAAAAAAAAGAGAGAACAUGUUGUUGGAAAUAAUAUAGGUGUAGAAGCAACAGAGCAGGUUGAGUCUCUAGAAGUAGUUCAGUACAUUCCACAGCACAUUGUUGAAUCCAUUCCAGAGAAAAAAAAUAAGAAAAAACAGAAGGAACACGUUAUUGAAAAUAACGUAGGUGUAGAGACAUGUCAAUUAGAAGAAGCCGAACUAGUAGAAGAAGUACUGGAAGAUUCUGUGAAGCAAACUCCUGAAUCAGUUACAGAGAGAAAAUUGAAAAAGAAAAAAGAACAAGUUGUAGAAAAUAAUUUGGGUGUAGAAGCAACAGAGACUGCCCAGGCUCUGGAAGGUGAUGAAGCUUGUCCUGUAGAAGCAGCAAAGAAACCUGUAGAAGUAUUUCAGGAUUCUAAGAAGCAAACUACUGAAUCAGUUUCAGACAACAAAUUGGAAAAGAAGAAGAAAAAGAAGAACAAACAGGUUUUUGGAAAUAACAGGGGUGUGCAAUCUUGGCAAGUAGAAGCAGCAAAACAAGUAGAAGUACUGAAAGAUUCUGUACAGCAAACUACUGAAUUAGUUUCAGAGAAAAAAAUGAAACAGAAGAAAAGCAAGAGAGAUCAGGUUGUUGAAAACAAUGUAGAUGAUGAAGCUUGCCCUGUAGAAGCAGCAAAGAAAAAUGUAGAAGUAGUUCAGUAUUCUGAGAAGCAAACUACUGAAUCAGUUCCAGACAACAAAUUGAAAAAGAAGAAGAAAAACAAGAGCGAACAAGUUAUUGAAAAUAACAUGGAUGUGGAAGCUUAUCAAGUAGAAGUAGCAGAACAAAUAGUAGAAGUACUGAACGAUUAUGUGAAGCAAACUACUGAAUCAGUUCCAGAGAAAAAAAUGAAGAAAAAGAAGAAAGAACAAGUUGUAGAAAAUAAUGUUGGUGUAAAACCAGCAGAGACUGUUAACACUUUAGAAGUAAUUCAGUACUGUCAACAAACUACUGAAUCGAUUGGAGAGAAUAAAAUGAAAAAGAGGAAGAAAAACAAGAGAGAUCAAGUUGUUCAAAGCAAUGUAGGAGAUAAAGCUUCUCAUGUAGAAGCAGCAGAGAGAACAGUAGAAGUAUUUCAGGAUUCUGAGAAGCAAACUACGCAAUCGGUUUCAGAAAAGAAAUUGAAAAAGAAGAAAGAAAAGCUGGUUGAAAAUAAUUUAGGCGAUUAUGUUACUGAAUCAGUUCCAGAGAAAAAAAUAAAGAAGAAAAAGAAAAAGGAACAAAUUAAACAAAAUGAUGUAGGUGUAAAACCAACAGAGACAGUUGAGAAUGUUCAAAAAACUUCUGAAUCAGUUCCAGAGAACAAAAGGAAGAAGAAAAACAAGAAAGAACAGGUUGAUGAUGAAGCUUGUCCUGUAAAAGCAGCAGAGAAAACUGUAGAAGAAGUUCUGGAUUCUGAAAAGCAAACUGAAUCAGUUCCAAAGAAGAAAUUGAAAAAGAAGAAAGAAAGGCUGGUUGAAAACAAUGAAGGUGAUGAAGUUUGUUCUGUGGAACCAGCAGAGCUAAUCAGAGAUCUAGAGGUAAUUCAGCAUCAUGAACAGAAAGCCGCUGAAUCAGUUCCAAAGAAAAAAUUAAAGAAGAAAAAGAAGAAAGAACAAUUUAUAGAAAAUAAUGUAGAUGUAAAGCCAACAGAAACAAUUAAGGCUCUAGAAGUAGUUCAGUACCAUCAACAAACUACUGAAUCAGUUCCAGAGAACAAAAUGAAGAAGAAGAAAAACAAAAGAGAUAAGGGGUUUGGAAACAAUGUAGGUGAUGAAGCUUGUCCUGUAGAAGCAGCAAAGAAAACUGUAGCAGUAGUUCAGUAUUCUGAAAAGCAAACUACUGAAUCAGUUCUAGAGAAGAAAAUGAAAAAGAAGAAAGUAAGGCUGGUUGAAAAUGAUUUAGGUGAUGACCAUACUGACUCUGUUCCAGAGAAAAAAAUUAAGAAGAAGAAAAAGAAGGGAGAACAUGUUGAAACUAACGUAGGUGUAGAAGCUUGUUAUGUUGAAGCAACAGACCAAGUUGAGGCUCUAGAAUUAGUUCAACCCAAUCAGCAGCAAGGUACUGAAUUCAAUCCAGAGAUAAAAGGGAUGAAAAAGAAGAAGAAAAAGAAGAGAGAACAGUUUGGAGAAGAAGACAAUGUUGGCGCUGAAGCUUGUCCUGUACAAUCAACAGACCAAAUUGAGACUUUUGAAGUUGUUCAGCACUAUCAACAUCAGGCUACUGAAUCAGAUCCAGACAAAAGGGUAAAGAAGAAGAAGAAAAGGAAGAGCUUUGAGGUUUUUCAAAACAAUAUGACAGUAGACUUUUGUGAAGUGAUUCAGGAUUGUGUGCAGGAAGCUGCUGAACUAGUUCCAAAGAAGAAGCAAAAGACAAAGAAAAAGAAAGGACGGGAUGUUGAGGGAACUGUGGAUGUAGAGGCUAUUUACGUAGCCACAGCAGAGCAUGUGGAGACAUUAGAAUUGGUUCAGGAGGCUGAGCAGCAAUGUCCAGAAUUGGAUUCGGAGAUAAAAGUAGACAAGAAGAUAAAGAAGAAAAAGAAGAAACCUGAGGAUGUUGAAGAAAAUGUGGACGUGAGAGCCAGCAGCUCAAGUAAACAAGUAGAUGCUCUAGAACUGAAGCAUGAUUUUGAGCAGGAGUCUGUUCAAUUGGUUCCAGAAAGAAAGAAACUAAAGGGGAAGAAGAAGAAGAAAAGAAAGCAAGAUGCUGAUGACAAUGAGACAUGGAAAUGAGGGGAGAUUCCUAGAUUCUUCUCAGCAUGUUAAAAAGAAUUCCAAAGUUGUUGGGGCAGUUUGGUGUUGGGUGCUUUGCUCAGUGGCACCUAAGUUGUAACCUGCUGGUUAAGGGAAUUGAACUGGCAAACAUCUGGUCACAAGGCCACUUCUGUACAUCUCAUACCAUUGUGUAUGUAUACACUGUGUUUAUGUUGAAUUAUAUGUAUACAGAAUGUUGUAUAUAUUGCAUCCUAGAAGUGCCUCAGAGAUUCCCCACCAAUGCCUUCAGAAAGAAUGUCAGAAAUGAAGAUGAAAAGAGACAAUGUUGCUUCAGGUCAGAGCGUGUGCAACAUCAGAAAGAUGCAAUAUUGUAAUGCAACCACUGGACUGAAAUGAGUUAAAAGCACCGAGGACGUUUCAGGCACAUAUCUUGUCUGCAACAAGAGCAGGACAAAGAGGACAGACUACCUUUAUAUAUUCUGGAGAUUAUUCUCACUCAGAGCUGCACAUUCCAUAGUGUCUGUUGCUUCAAACCAGUGUUCAUCGACCCGUGAUGUACCUCAUCCAAAAAGAGUCCUGGUCUUUUAAGAUCAUGUGAUGAAUAUCUCUGCAUACAGAUGCGUAUGCUUAUAUGUACUUCAUAAUGUAAGUUGUGUACAUUCUCUACCUCUCAAAGGGAGCUGGACUUCUUUAUUUUUAUUUAUGUUUUAGCAUAUUCGUAAACAGUGAUUAAACAAAUAAAAGAUGUACAUAUUUUUUAAAGGUCA
ensembl:lncRNA